UACGUAGGGCGCAAGCGUUGUCCGGAAUUAUUGGGCGUAAAGAGCUCGUAGGCGGUUUGUCGCGUCGGCCGUGAAAUCUCCACGCUUAACGUGGAGCGUGCGGUCGAUACGGGCAGACUUGAGUUCGGUAGGGGAGACUGGAAUUCCUGGUGUAGCGGUGAAAUGCGCAGAUAUCAGGAGGAACACCGGUGGCGAAGGCGGGUCUCUGGGCAUUAACUGACGCUGAGGAGCGAAAGCAUGGGGAGCGAACAGG
rnacentral:rRNA from 1 species